rnacentral:snRNA from 1 species
CACAUUACAGCUCUUUUAAAAUUUGUCCAGCAGGUUUUCUGGUCUUUACCAGAAAGCUCCC